CGUUACCCUCUUAGGUGUCUAAAAAGCAAGAAUACUUCGUAUUUUUAUUGAAAUUUGCAAACAAUAGACUCAAUAUCAGCAAAAUUAACAAUUAAAGAGUCCUCCGAAAUUGGUAUCACAUGUACAGAACACAAUGCAAAUUUAUUUAAUAAUUUCUUUAUUCUUUAUACACUCCAAGUGCACAAUAAGACAUUAGCUUUCUCCAGUAUGGAAUCACUGGUCAAUUUUAUUUUGCAUCAAAUACAUCAGCAAUGGAAUAUAAACAGGGGUGGAAUGAAAAAGGUCCCACAGUGAGCCUGAAAUGGAAUUGGAGUAGGAAGCACCUGAUAUCUCCUCUGCUCCAGUGUCAGAAAUACUCAAUAUUUAUAAACACACAAUCACGGAUAGGUACGACAGUUAGAAUUGAUCUGGAAAUGCCCAGCAGGUCAUUACCUCAAACACCUAGCCAAAAAUAAAUAUAAUGAAACAAAAUGUGUUCCUUCUUACGUAAAGUGAAUUAUGCUGCAAAAAGACAAAAGACUGGAUUGCAUUAGAACAUGAAAAAAAUAGCUUAGUUCAAUGUACAAGUCGCUCAUGUACCAUAAUAUCUCGUUUUGGUGUAAUGCCCUUCUGAAGCUUGCUACUUGUUGAACGCAUUUGGCUAAGCUGCAGUCAUUUUACAUUUUUGCUUGGAUUUUUCCAACAUAUACAUUACUUUACUAUUUUAUGGAUAAACAGAAUUCUAUACUCUGUUCCUGAGUGUAGAAAACCGCUGCUUGCUUGAGAUACCCUGAUUCUGUGUGGAGGAUGAUUGGGAGAUUACAAAUAAAAUUUAAAAAAGAAUAAGUUAGGAAGUAGAGAUGACAAACAGCUUUCAUAACAAUUUGUACUAAAAAAAAAAAAGGCCCAGUUUCAGACAUUUUCAAAAUACUGUUACAAUUUAGGCAUUUACAUACUUGAGCAAAGCCUGAGCACUAUUUGACUUGCCAUUGGCUAAGAACAUAUACUUACAAAGACAUCAUCUAAACUGCCUUGUGUAUCAAUAAAAAGAUAUAGCAAAACGUGUAGCUUGUGCUUUUUAUAUCUUUAAAUCAGUAAACUAUUUUACCAUGGUUCUGUGGCACGCAGAGCAAAACAAAUUGCUGCCCUGUCUUUACCAUAUUUCCCUGUUGUUCACCACUAGUUCUAAGGCUACUAAAGGUGGUCAGGGCUCACUAAAGGUGAGAAAUAACGUAAUGAUGAGAAUUAGCGGAGGAACAAAUAUAUGGAUUAGAUACCAAGUUGUAGUUAAAAUUGUUGCGCUCACUGACAUACAGAUACAGUGGACUUGUUUUUUUUAGAUCAGUACCAGCCAUUUUAAUGUAUAAAUGGUAUUGGAAAGUAAAAUUAUAGUGAGCUCUAAAGUUUACAUUUUUGGAAAGCAGAUCCACUCAUUUUUAUACCUUAUGGCUUAUAAAGCCCUCUUUUUUUUUUUUAAUAAAUGAAGAGUAUGAUCUUUUGCCUAUGCAAACAAAAUAACUAAAGCAAUAAUUAUACUUUGUGUUUAUAUUUAAAGAGAACUAAUAUCACAAGAAAAUGUAAGUUUGAGAAUAUAUAUUAGCAUACAGCAAUAAAUGCUAUUUUUUUAAAGAUGUACAGGUCACAGCCAUUUUUUUUUUAAACAGAUAUAUUCGAGGUAUUCAUCUUCCUUCCUUUAAUUGACAUCAAUGGGAAAAAAUUAAGUAGAAAAUAAAAACGUAAAAAAAAAAAAAAAACCUCAGUGCGCAAGCAUCACAAAGGAUUUACACACUGACUGUAGUAAUAGUACCCAGAAUCUCCAACAUUGUGUUAUCCCAUCAGGCACUAAUUUACCCCCACAUCCCCCCCCACCAAAAAAUAAAUAUUAAAAAAAUAAAUAAAAUAAAAUAAACAGCUGCACAUAACACUGUUCCAAACGUAAGCAAGAUCACACCACUAGUAAGCACCUGGUUCCUUUACACUCUUGGCUGCCUCCUUCUCACUCACAAUUAGGGCGGCCAGGAUGCAGUACCCACACUGAUGUUGACAUGGCAGACUUUAGAGACUAGAAGAGAAGGAUGGGCUGGGCACACAUACCUUCAAACAUACUUGGUGCUUCCUCAUCUACUACAAUUUAUUGAUAAAAAAAAUAGAAAUAGAAUACACUUAAUGACAAUAGUUCUCUGUAAGACCUUGAGCAGUCAUUAAAGGACCACUAUAGGCACCUAGACCACUUCAGCUCAAUGAAGUGGUCUGGGUGCCAGGUCCAGCAAGGUUUAACCCCCUUUUUAAAUAAACAUAGCAGUUUCAGAGAAACUGCUGUUUACCUAUGGGUUAAUCCAGCCUCUAGUAGCUGUCUCAUUGACAGCCACUAGAGGCGCUUCUGCGCUUCUCACUGUGAAAAAUCACAGUGAGAAGACGCCAGCGUCCAUAGGAAAGCACUGAGAAUGCUUUCCUAUGGACUGGCUGGCUGAAUGCGCGCACGGCUCUUGCCACGCAUGCACAUUCAGCCGGUGACGGAAGAAGAGGGAGGAGGAGAGGUCCCCGCCCGGCGCUGGAGAAAGAGGUAAGUUUAACCCCUUCCUCCCCCCAGAGCCCGGCGGGAGUGGGACCCUAAGGGUGGGGGCACCCUCAGGGCACUAUAGUGGUCCUUUAACACUACUAAGUGUUCCUGCAGAGGCUAGAUAUAAAUAUUACAGGGAAGAUACCUUGACAUAAAACCUUGCUAUUGAUCCAAAUAAAAAGAAAUGGAGCAGAAACGAUUUCUGUCUAUAAACUGACAUUCACAUUAUUGGUUUUAAAAGCACAAGUAGCAGAAUGUUUUGUCAUGCAAAAUUGGAAGCAUGGUACGAUUACAAAUCAUCCACAUUCUUCCUAUAGAGGUGGAACAACAUAUUUGGCCAGUGUGUUCCAAGUUGCCAAUUUCGCUCUCAUUAGCACCUAUGACCACAUGAUCAUAUGUGACCCCCCCCCCCUCAUGUGAGUGAGAUUAUAUUCCACCAUUUUGGAUAUUUCCGUUUACAGGUCACACUUUGGUUGUGUAUUUCUCUUUAUAGGUUUUUCACAUGUAUG